UCGAAGAACUACGACAACUGGGAGAGGCUAGUGAGAGCCGUUUUGCGCAGGGAAAACGACAGGCGAAUAGCCUUGCUUAAUUCCUCAACAGAUUCCAGCUCCAACAGUGCAUCGUCUAGUUUCGAUCGUAGUUUUGGUCCCGCAAAUUUUCAAAUACUCGAUCAUGAUCAAUCGCAAGAAAGAAGUCGACUAGUGAUGAACUACACGGAUUUAGGGCUUGACCACAGCCAAUGGAAGACGAUGCUCCCACCCG
rnacentral:lncRNA from 1 species